GAUGAACGCUGGCGGCGUGCCUAAUACAUGCAAGUCGAGCGAACGGACGAGAAGCUUGUUUCUCUGAGGGUAGCGGCGGACGGGGGAGGAACACGUGGAUAACCUACCUAUAAGACUGGGAUAAGUUCGGGAAACCGGAGCUAAUACCGGAUAAUAGUUUGAACCGCAUGGUUGAAAAGGGAAAGACGGACGUGCUGUCAGUGAUAGAUGGAGCGGCGCUGCAUUAGCUGGUUGUUAAGGGAACGGUUUACCAAGGCAACGAUGCAUAGCCGACCUGAGAGGGUGAGCGUCCACAGUGGCACUGAGACUCGGUCCCGACUCCUACGGGAGGCAGCAGUAGGGAAUCUUCCUCAAUGGGCGAAAGCCUGACGGAGCAACGCCGCGUGCGUGAUGAAGGUCUUCGGAUCGUAAAACUCUGUUAUUAGGGAAGAACAUAUGUGUAAGUAACUGUGCACAUCUUGACGGUACCUAAUCAGAAAGCCACGGCUAACUACGUG
rnacentral:rRNA from 1 species